UACGGAGGGUGCGAGCGUUGUUCGGAAUUAUUGGGCGUAAAGGGCGCGUAGGCGGUUGUGUAAGUCAGAUGUGAAAUCCUUCGGCUUAACUGAAGAACUGCAUUUGAUACUGCACAACUAGAGUACAGGAGAGGGAAACGGAAUUCCCGGUGUAGAGGUGAAAUUCGUAGAUAUCGGGAGGAACACCAGUGGCGAAGGCGGUUUCCUGGCCUGAUACUGACGCUGAGGCGCGAAAGCGUGGGGAGCAAACAGGAUUAGAUACCCUGGUAGUCCACGCAGUAAACGGUGAACACUAGGUGUGGGAGGUGUAAUACCUUCUGUGCCGAAGCUAACGCGUUAAGUGUUCCGCCUGGGAAGUACGGCCGCAAGGUUG
rnacentral:rRNA from 1 species